rnacentral:rRNA from 1 species
GUCGCUACUACCGAUUGAAUGGCUUAGUGAGCUCUCUGGACUGUUGCAUUUCGUUGGAAACUUCGUUAUGCAUGCGGGAAGGAGAUCAAACUUGAUCAUUUAGAGGAAGUAA